rnacentral:lncRNA from 1 species
CCCUGGCAGCCCUGCAGAGGGUUCUCAAAUCCAGAUUUCAUUCUGCAGUCCCGGCAGUGUUUUGACGACUGCCUCACUAAAGGAAGCUAAAAGCUGUGCUGAUGCCUCCCAGACGAGCCUCGUUGGAAGCACAGAACCUUCACGGCUCGGAGCCGCUGACACCGUGACAAAGGGAGCCCUGCUCAGGAGGAAAAGUAGACAAGAGGGAGAAAUUGAGAUUCAAAUAAUCCAACACUCAGGCAGAUUGCCUGCUAGCAUGCUUAUCUCUCAUCAGCACAGUGAGGGAGGGGCCUGUGUCACUUUACAGAUGAGGCAGAGGGUCCCGCAACUCCUUAAGGGUGGAACUAGGAUUGGAAACCACUCCUCCUGGCUCCUCUUUUCCUGCCAAGAGCGCUGCACCAGCUCUGGAGGAAGCCUCAGGAGAGGUUACACAAGUCUCAGCUGCCUGUGGUAUUUGAGUGGCCAUGGAGGAUGGAAUUUAUGCUGCUGGAAUAACUAGAGCCACUGCCCCUCAUCUGCAGAGAAGACACACUAUCUUGCAAUUGCAGAACUCCUGUGCCUCGCUUUCGAAAUUGGUCAUAAGCUGGAGGCUGAUGUUAUCUUUCCUCACCCUUCAGACCCAAGUUCCCCAACUCCUCUCACCGCCCCCAACCACCGCUUUAAUGACCGGUAAACAAGCAGCUAAAUGCACCAUGCACUGAGGGGCUCCAGCGAGGGGAGGAGGUGACUCUUCUGAAGAAGGGCUCCACCUGAGUUACUGAGUCAGCGAAAAGGCACCUUUAUCCAGGCCUAGAGCAAAACGCAAUCAGCCUUCACAGGACUGGUUUCCCAGCCAUGAGCUUGGGGGACAGGGCUGGCUGCAACGGGGGCUGCCAAGGGCCCAGGUUCUGUGCUGGAAACAAGAGCACUCUGGUGGACUCGGAAAUACAGCGCUGAGGUGGGUGGGCUUUAGUCGGAGCCACCUCCCCGACAUUCCUGCCCCAGGCUUCUCUCCCAGGCUUUCCUUCCUGGCCCUGCCAUUCUGCAUUCCUUACCAACCUGCUGUAUUCCCACUCUCGGCUGCCAGGAAGCCUCCUCUUCCCCCGAGCUUUACAGCGUUCAUUAUUUACCUUCCAGUUUGCACAGUUAUAUCACUGGAGUUUAAGCACACUUUCUAUGUGCAGAACAAACAUUCGCACAUGCCACAACGUACAGUGGGCUGUUUUGUGCCACGUGAUGUGCUACUGUAUGCAAAUUAAAGACGAAGUUAACAUUCCCUGUUGCUGGCUUUUCCAAGUGUGUGGGUAUCCAUUAUAGACUUCAAUUCUUUGUAAAUAUUUCAAAGGAAGAAACUCAAAGAGAUGAUAUGAAGGUUGUGAAAUUCCCCAUCAUAAAAUCAGAAACUGAUUAAACCUGGAACAUGCAAAGCCAAUAUUGAUUUCAGCAGCAAAACCAAAAUCAGGACAAGCAGACAAUAUUUUCAUAAUUAAAAAAGAAAAUGAGCUCAUGUGAAGAGAUGUUAUCAUCACUCGUAACUUGAAGAUGCUUUUGGAUACACUGCAAUAAUUCAGCUAACGUUAACAUAAAAAUGAAAGAAAUUUUUCCACAUCUGUAUUAUUAGCAAAUGAAUUAGGCAAUUAAUAAUUUGUUUGCUUUAAAAUGUCAUUUUCAUAAACACAAUUUAAGCAUUAUAUAUUUAUGACAAUAUCUUUCAUUUUAAAGUUAUUUUUACUUAGUGUUUAUUGUAUGUUAAUUCGCUCUCUUUCUGUUCCUUUUUUAUUGUCAAAAGUCCAUAUUAUGUAGAGAUAAUUUUUGCUAGCUAUUGUAAUAUAUAAUCUUGUUAGAAUAUAUUCGUCCAUAAUAACAAAUUAUACAUUUAUCAUAGUAUGUGUUUUACAAAAAAAUCUCCUUUAAUGUAACCCUAUUACAGAAAAAAAAAUUCAGUGUUUAUUAUUUUGGUCCAUUUUUAUUUUUGUUUUUCAAAAAGUGCUUUCACAAAUACAGAAUAACUAAUCUACUCAUACUCUAAAAUAAGGACUCUAGUACGGAUAACUGCAGAAGCAUAGAUCGAAAAAUCACUUAUAUUGCCUGAGGGAGAUGGUUAGGAAACAGUACUGAGAUAAGAUAUAAUUUAAAAUGGGUUUUGAAGAAUGCAUAGGAGUUCAUCAGGCUGUAAAGGAAGAGAAGGACAUAUCAUAGUGUACAGCCUACAGAAGCAAAAAUCUAAAUAGAGAAGUAUAUAGUAUACAGUGUCAGAACAGUAGGAGCUAGAAGUAAAAAAUACGAAAUCUGUGCAGUGCAACAAAAGCUAUAACCCCCAAAAAAGGCUGCACGUUAAUAAACACAAAAGGAGGCCGGGUGAGGUGGCUUGUUCAUGCCUGUAAUCCGUGCACUUUGGGAGGCCAAGGCGGGAGGAUCACUUGAGGUCAGGAGUUUGAGACCAGCCUGACCAACAUGAUGAAACCCUGUCUCUAUGAAAAAUACAAAAAUUAGCCAAGCAUGAUGGUGGGCACCUGUAAUCUCAGCUACUCCGGAGGCUGAGGCAGGAGAAUCGCUUGAACCCAGGAGGCAGAGGUUGUAGUGAGCCGAGAUUGCACCAUUGCACUCCAUCCAGCCUGGGUGACAGAAUGUGACUGAGUCUCUAAAUAAAUACAUACAUACAUACAUACAUACAUACAUA